rnacentral:tRNA from 1 species
GGUCUCAUAGUUCAACGGAUAGAAUAGAAGUUUCCUAAACUUUUGAUCCCAGUUCGAUUCUGGGUGAGACUACCA